rnacentral:rRNA from 1 species
UCGAGCGGAUGAAGGGAGCUUGCUCCUGGAUUCAGCGGCGGACGGGUGAGUAAUGCCUAGGAAUCUGCCUGGUAGUGGGGGAUAACGUCCGGAAACGGGCGCUAAUACCGCAUACGUCCUGAGGGAGAAAGUGGGGGAUCUUCGGACCUCACGCUAUCAGAUGAGCCUAGGUCGGAUUAGCUAGUUGGUGGGGUAAAGGCCUACCAAGGCGACGAUCCGUAACUGGUCUGAGAGGAUGAUCAGUCACACUGGAACUGAGACACGGUCCAGACUCCUACGGGAGGCAGCAGUGGGGAAUAUUGGACAAUGGGCGAAAGCCUGAUCCAGCCAUGCCGCGUGUGUGAAGAAGGUCUUCGGAUUGUAAAGCACUUUAAGUUGGGAGGAAGGGCAGUAAGUUAAUACCUUGCUGUUUUGACGUUACCAACAGAAUAAGCACCGGCUAACUUCGUGCCAGCAGCCGCGGUAAUACGAAGGGUGCAAGCGUUAAUCGGAAUUACUGGGCGUAAAGCGCGCGUAGGUGGUUCAGCAAGUUGGAUGUGAAAUCCCCGGGCUCAACCUGGGAACUGCAUCCAAAACUACUGAGCUAGAGUACGGUAGAGGGUGGUGGAAUUUCCUGUGUAGCGGUGAAAUGCGUAGAUAUAGGAAGGAGCACCAGUGGCGAAGGCGACCACCUGGACUGAUACUGACACUGAGUGCGAAAGCGUGGGGAGCAAACACGGAUUAGAUACCCUGGUAG